UUGGAUUAAUACCCCAUAGCGUUAUGAUGUGGCAUCACAUUAUAACUAAAGUUCCAACGGUACAAGAUGAGCAUGCGUCCCAUUAGCUAGUUGGUGUGGUAACGGCAUACCAAGGCAACGAUGGGUAGGGGUCCUGAGAGGGAGAUCCCCCACACUGGUACUGAGACACGGACCAGACUCCUACGGGAGGCAGCAGUGAGGAAUAUUGGUCAAUGGGCGCAAGCCUGAACCAGCCAUGCCGCGUGCAGGAUGACGGUCCUAUGGAUUGUAAACUGCUUUUGUACAGGAAGAAACACUCCCUCGUGAGGGAGCUUGACGGUACUGUAAGAAUAAGGAUCGGCUAACUCCGUGCCAGCAGCCGCGGUAAUACGGAGGAUCCAAGCGUUAUCCGGAAUCAUUGGGUUUAAAGGGUCCGUAGGCGGUUUUAUAAGUCAGUGGUGAAAUCUGGUCGCUCAACGA
rnacentral:rRNA from 1 species